rnacentral:rRNA from 1 species
GAUGAACGCUGGCGGCGUGCCUAAUACAUGCAAGUCGAGCGAACAGACGAGGAGCUUGCUCCUCUGACGUUAGCGGCGGACGGGUGAGUAACACGUGGAUAACCUACCUAUAAGACUGGGAUAACUUCGGGAAACCGGAGCUAAUACCGGAUAAUAUAUUGAACCGCAUGGUUCAAUAGUGAAAGACGGUUUUGCUGUCACUUAUAGAUGGAUCCGCGCCGCAUUAGCUAGUUGGUAAGGUAACGGCUUACCAAGGCAACGAUGCGUAGCCGACCUGAGAGGGUGAUCGGCCACACUGGAACUGAGACACGGUCCAGACUCCUACGGGAGGCAGCAGUGGGGAAUCUUCCGCAAUGGGCGAAAGCCUGACGGAGCAACGCCGCGUGAGUGAUGAAGGUCUUCGGAUCGUAAAACUCUGUUAUUAGGGAAGAACAAAUGUGUAAGUAACUAUGCACGUCUUGACGGUACCUAAUCAGAAGACCACGGCUAACUACGU